rnacentral:rRNA from 1 species
AUUGAACGCUGGCGGCAGGCCUAACACAUGCAAGUCGAACGAGUGGCGGACGGGUGAGAAAUGUCUGGGACACUGCCUGAUGGAGGGGGAUAACAACUGGAAACGGUAGCUAAUACCGCAUACCAUGGGAUGUGCCCAGAUGGGAUUAGCUAGUAGGUGGGGUAAAGGCUCACCUAGGCGACGAGCCCUAGCUGGUCUGAGAGGAUGACCAGCCACACUGGGACUGAGACACGGCCCAGACUCCUACGGGAGGCAGCAGGGGGGAAUAUUGCACAAUGGGCGAAAGCCUGAUGCAGCCAUGCCGCGUGUAUGAAGAAGGCCUUCGGGUUGUAAAGUACUUUCAGCGGGGAGGCGUUACCCGCAGAAGAAGCACCGGCUAACUCCGUGCCAGCAGCCGCGGUAAUAC